rnacentral:rRNA from 1 species
GAUUAACGCUAGCGGCAGGCAUAAUACAUGCAAGUUGAACGGCAGCACAGGUAGCAAUACUGGGUGGCGAGUGGCGCACGGGUGCGUAACACGUAUGCAACCUACCCUAUACAGGCGAAUAACCUCAAGAAAUGAGGGCUAAUACGCCGUAGUAUUACAGAUGGGCAUCUAUUUGUAAUUAAAGAUUUAUCGGUAUAGGAUGGGCAUGCGUCCCAUUAGUUAGUUGGUAAGUUAACGGCUUACCAAGACGAUGAUGGGUAGGGGAUCUGAGAGGACUUACCCCCACACGGGGACUGAGACACGGACCAGACUCCUACGGGAGGCAGCAGUAAGGAAGAUUGGGCAAUGGCAGCGAGGCUGACCCAGCCAUGCCGCGUGCAGGAAGGCGGCCUUAGGGGUUGUAAACUGCUUUUAGACGUGAAUAAUAGAGUGUACGCGUACAUUUAUGCAAGUAUCGUAUGAAUAAGCACCGGCUAACUCCGUG